GGGGUCGUAGCUCAGUUGGUAGAGCACCACAAUGGCAUUGUGGGGGUCAUCAGUUCGAUUCUGUUCGGCUCCACCA
rnacentral:tRNA from 4 species